CCUACGGGAGGCAGCAGUGGGGAAUAUUGCACAAUUGGGGAAACCCUGAUGCAGCAACGCCGCGUGAGUGAUGAAGGUCUUCGGAUUGGAAAGCUCUGUCUUUUGGGACGAUAAUGACGGUACCCAAGGAGGAAGCCACGGCUAACUACGUGCCAGCAGGCGCGGUAAU
rnacentral:rRNA from 1 species